GAUGAAGAACGCAGCGAAAUGCGAUAAGUAGUGUGAAUUGCAGAAUUCAGUGAAUCAUCGAAUCUUUGAACGCACAUUGCGCCCCUUGGUAUCCCGAGGGGCAUGCCUGUUCGAGCGUCAUUUCACCACUCAAGCCUGGCUUGGUGUUGGGCGACGUCCUCUUUGGGGACGCGCCUCGAAACGCUCGGCGGCGUGGCACCGGCUUUAAGCGUAGCAGAAUCUUUCGCUUUGGAAGUCGGGGCCCCGUCUGCCGGAAGACCUGCUCGCAAGGUUGACCUCGGAUCAGGCAGGGAUACCCGCUGAACUUAAGCAUAUUAAUAAGCGGAGGA
rnacentral:misc_RNA from 1 species